rnacentral:lncRNA from 1 species
GAAAGAGUAAAGAGAUUUGUAAUAGCUUAGAAUGGACAUGUAAUAUAAAGAGAUGUAAUAGUUGUGUAUAAAGUUAGAAAUGUGCUUGACUUAGUACUGUAUGUUUUGUACAUGAUCGGUAUAUGUAUAUAUGUUUUGCUGUAUGUGAAAAACCAGGCUUAUCAGGUAUGAAUUAAACCAUCUAGAGCAAGCUCUAGUCAGGGGUACAAAGUACAGAGUGCAGAGUACAGAGUACAGAGUACAGAGUACAGAGAUAGUGCAUGCACAGGUUAAGCCUUGGUUCAGAAAAGAG